CGAAAAAGAAAACAGAAGAGCGACCACUUCGCUGAUCUCGAGGGCUGUGUGCGUGUGCUCGUGUCGUCUUCUCCCCCUCCAUACCUCUUUCUUCGUGUAGCAUCCCCCCUCCCCGCGCACGCGCCGCUACUCUCCGUCUGUCUGCGAAUGUGUUGGAGCGCGCGCGCUCUCGCUAGCCGACUCCGACGUCAUGUUCACCCGCGUCGGCGCCUUUCUGGAGGCCAUCGACAAGAAGACGGAGGAGCUGGCCAAUGCCGCCGAUGAGGAGGACCUCGCGCGGGCGGCGGAACAGCAUCAGCAGCAGCAGCGGCAGCACAGCAGUAGCGGUGUGAGCAGAACCACGUCUUUGCAGCAGCAUCCUCAGCCACCGCUGCACCCUGCAAGGGGCCACGACAGCGGUGCUUGUCAUGAGAGCCGCCUCGGCGGGCUCCCGCGCGGCCGUGGCAAUGCCGCCGGUAGUAGCAGUGAUGACUUCCAGACCGCGGCGACCCCGCCCUCGGCCAUGAUCUCGUCGGCACAUCUUGCAUCUGACGAAGCGUACGCGGCAGGCCACGUGCCACUGUCGCUGCCCACAAAGUUACCCUCGUUCCGGCCAUCCUCGCAAGACCCGGCGAUGGAUGGCGGCAAAGGAGGUGCUGCCGCUGGAUGGAAGCAGCACCUGACUGCGUCCGCUGCGGCGAACCCGUUUGCCGGAAACUCUCUCGUCUCAAGCCAGGGUGAUGCAGCCAUCGUCUCGUCCGCUGCGCUCGGCGGUGGCGAGACACCUAUCCAUAACGCCAGCAUUGCGGAAGCCGCGGUGGAGCGACUCGAGGCGCGGUGCAAAGCCCUCGAAGCUGACAAGACGCGCUGGCAGCAAGAGGCCGCCACCCAUCGCGCUCAGUGCAGGGCAGCACGGGACGCCUUGUGGAAGGCGGAGCAGGAUACACGCGCGAGUCGCGCAGCUCAGCGUGCGGCUGAGCAGGCACUCGCGGUCUACAAGGAAACCUCGCAGCGGCUGUUGGACGAGGCGCAGCACGAGUUGAAGCAGGCGCGCGACGCCGCAGCGGGGCGGUCGUCAGCGACAGAACCACAACAGCAGACUGACGCGUCGCACGACGCACGGGAGCUGCAUCAGCGGCUGGAGCUGCUUCAGGCGGAUCACGCAUCGCUGAACACCGAGGUAGAGCGCUAUCGCCAGGAAGCGGCAAAGGCAACAGCGGAACUGCAGCACAUGCAGGAGAAGCACCGACAGGCACAGAUGCGCGUUGACAUGUUGCAGCUCGAGGUGGGCGCCACGCGCGAGUCGCUCGAGGGCGAAGUCGCGGCACACGCGGACACGCGAAGUGCCCUACGUCGUCUACAGACGCAGAAAGAUGAGCUAGUGAGAAGGGGCAGCAGCCCUUCCUCGUCCGCAGCAGUGGCACAGGGCACCGGCGAUGCGUGCCCCGCUGUCGAUGUGGGACCGCUCCAGAGAGAGCUGAAUGAGCUGAAGCAACGCCACCAACUUCUCACUCUUCAGGCAAGCAACCUACAGGCUGCCCUCGACGCCGCGGCGCGUGAGGCAACAGACAUGAAAGCACGGUACAACGAGCUCGCGAAGCACGUGAAUGAUGCGGAGGUGGAGAUGGCAGCUGGCUUCCGCGCGUCUGCCAUGUAUGGGGACGGCAACGGUCGCAGCUCUGUCUUCCCGGCGCCUCCGACGGCUUCCUCCAUGCGCGGCCACCGAGGCUCCAGCGCCGAUGGGAACGGGCUUGGCGGGCACAGUGCGGCGGCUGGCGCUCCUUGGGCACAUUAUGCUGGAACUGCAGCCACCACACCGGAGAGCAGCGGCGACGCCCGGCGCCGCAACCCGGCUAUGGUGCGUCUGGCACGUCAGUACGGUAUCGCCGGCCGCGCAGUUGUCGCAGUCGUCUCCUCCAUUGACAGCUUCGCCAUGCAGGUGGGCCGCGUCCUCACGCAGGCGCGUUGGGUGUGGCGUGUGGCGCUGAUGUGCUACAUCGGCCUCCUGCAGGUUUGGGUCGUCUUGAUGAUCAUUGGCACCCUCGCCCUGGAGGAAAGCGCGCAUGUGCGGGAGCCGGCGAAGGUUUCAGAGCCCCUGUAGGGCGGCACGUUUGUUUUCUGCUUGCUCUUUAGUUGUGUGGCUGCCUCCGCUUGUGGUCGCUCUGUUACCGACGCUUCGGAGGAGUAUCGAAAGAGGUGUUCCAUCCCCCACCAUCAUGAUGGUCACCGCCAACCAGCCAACCAUCCCUCAGCCUCACCCAACGUUUCAACGUGUCUGUCCGUAUCUCAGCCGCUGGAAACCGCACAUACGCAGGCGAGUGGUGAGGCGGCGGUGAAGAGGGCUGUGCACAACUACAUCCCUGUGUGUGUGUGUGUGUGUGUGUAUGCGCAAGGGGGAAAGAAACGACGCGGGUGCGCUGCUCGUAGCACGCGUCAACGGUACCAAGCGCACACCCACGCACACACACACAUGGGCACGAAUGCGCAUGUGCCAGUCGCUAUAAGCAACGCGACG
rnacentral:misc_RNA from 1 species